rnacentral:rRNA from 1 species
UACGGGGGGAGCAAGCGUUGUUCGGAUUUACUGGGCGUAAAGGGCGCGUAGGCGGUCGUGACAAGUCACUUGUGAAAUCUCCGGGCUUAACUCGGAACGGUCAAGUGAUACUGUCGGACUAGAGUACAGAAGGGGCAACUGGAAUUCUCGGUGUAGCGGUGAAAUGCGUAGAUAUCAAGAGGAACACCUGAGGCGAAGGCGGGUUGCUAGGCUGACACUGACGCUGAAGCGCGAAAGCUAGGGUAGCAAACGGG